UACGUAGGGGCCGAGCGUUGUCCGGAAUUAUUGGGCGUAAAGAGCUCGUAGGCGGUGUGCCACGUCGGCCGUGAAAACCUGGGGCUUAACUCUGGGCGUGCGGUCGAUACGGGCAUCACUAGAGUUCGGCAGGGGAGACUGGAAUUCCUGGUGUAGCGGUGAAAUGCGCAGAUAUCAGGAGGAACACCGGUGGCGAAGGCGGGUCUCUGGGCCGAUACUGACGCUGAGGAGCGAAAGCAUGGGUAGCGAACAGG
rnacentral:rRNA from 1 species